GCCGAUAUAGCUCAGUUGGUAGAGCAGCGAAUUCGUAAUGCGAAGGUCGUAGGUUCGACUCCUAUUAUCGGCACCA
rnacentral:tRNA from 2 species